AUUGAACGCUGGCGGCAUGCCUUACACAUGCAAGUCGAACGGCAGCACGGGGGGUAACCCCUGGUGGCGAGUGGCGAACGGGUGAGUAAUGUAUCGGAACGUACCCUGCAGCGGGGGAUAACGCGUCGAAAGAUGUGCUAAUACCGCAUACGCUCUACGGAGGAAAGCGGAGGACCGCUAGGCUUCGCACUGCAGGAGCGGCCGAUAUCGGAUUAGCUAGUUGGCGGGGUAACGGCCCACCAAGGCGACGAUCCGUAGCUGGUCUGAGAGGACGAUCAGCCACACUGGAACUGACACACGGUCCAGACUCCUACGGGAGGCAGCAGUGGGGAAUUUUGGACAAUGGGCGCAAGCCUGAUCCAGCCAUGCCGCGUGAGUGAAGAAGGCCUUCGGGUUGUAAAGCUCUUUCGGCGGGGACGAAACGGUUCGUGCUAACACCACGGACUAAUGACGGUACCCGAAGAAGAAGCACCGGCUAACUACGUGCCAGCCGCCGCCGUAA
rnacentral:rRNA from 1 species